rnacentral:rRNA from 1 species
UACGUAGGGUGCAAGCGUUGUCCGGAAUCAUUGGGCGUAAAGAGCUCGUAGGUGGUUUGUCGCGUUGUUCGUGAAAACUCACAGCUUAACUGUGGGCGUGCGGGCGAUACGGGCAGACUGGAGUACUGCAGGGGAGACUGGAAUUCCUGGUGUAGCGGUGGAAUGCGCAGAUAUCAGGAGGAACACCGGUGGCGAAGGCGGGUCUCUGGGCAGUAACUGACGCUGAGGAGCGAAAGCGUGGGGAGCGAACAGG